AAAAUAUUUUUACAUAUGGCACUAAUACUCUUCCAUACAAUCCAAUUAUCAAUUUUGUGUCACUUCAGUAUGUGGUUCUAUAUACCGAAUAGGCUACUGUAUAUAAACAAUAUGUGGCUGGAGUGAGAAAGGUCCAACUGUGUUCGCUGAGCAUUGAUGUCAUUGACCUGAAGUGGCAGAACAGCAAAAUCAAACAACAAUGGAGAACAACGCUGUCCUAAAGGGCUAAAUUUAACCCACACAUGCUCUGCAAAAGCUCAAUACAGGAACAUCUUAUCUUGCCGUACCCAUCUCCCAUGUUUUCUGGUGAUGAUCAUGACGCGAUGUGGCUGGAAAUCUUAACGAACGCCUACAUCGUUAAACGGUCAAAAGCAUUGGUGGAAAUCUUUGAAAGGCUAUGGGAGAAUUAAAGGUCUCUCCCCUGGACCUCACACUUUGCCAAUUACAGAAGCACUUUAAAGUAAAUCAAGGCACCAAGUAAAAGCUAUUUUUAUCCACUUAAUGACACCUGACUGAAGAGCUGAAGCUGCGGUGUCCUGUUUCCUUCAAAUACAGCAUAACCUUAUUUUAUAUUUUAAAGGUACCAUUGUGAUCAUCAACCAGCUGUUUCUCUUGGAGGGUGCAGAUACUCGUUGGUAGUUCUGGUCAAUGUGUUUUAACAAACCAGUCUAAAAAUGCAGUAUAGACCUGUAUAGACUGUUAUAUUGUUAGAUUUCACAGUUCAUAUGUGAAGGUGUGUAGUGUAUAGAGAGCAAUGUAGGUCAGUGUGUCUGAUUGGCUUGGGUGUUUGUGGGUCAGUUUAUUAGAGAGAAAGGGUGAGGUGACAAAAACAUCUGUGCAUCGGCUUGUCAUUGCAUCCUGGUGUGAAGUCUUUGCUCCCCAGGAAAAUGUAGCUUGUGUGGACCCCAUGUGUCACAAAGGAAGAGGUCAGUUCGAACUUCAGCAGGUAAUUUUGUCCAAGCUGAACAGGUUUAUCCAAUAAAGUGGUUGUUAGUGUGUGUGCAUGUGUGUGUGUGCACUGUGAACCCACCUUCUUCAGUUCUACUUGGCUCUUUGGAGAUGUUUUGCAUCUUUCAACUCUUUAGUUUUGCGUGCGAGGCUUAGACCUAUUUUAAUUCUGCUUUGAAUGUAAUUACGGUUUGUUGAUUUAGCAUAAUCUAAAUUACAAAUAGUAAAAGCCAAACCUUGACGAGACGUUCAAAACAAACGUUCAUGGCUCAGCUCCAGUUGUGGCGUCAGCUGCGUGUCUUUAGGCUGUGAUGUUGCUCCCAAAGGCUUUAAUCCUCUGUGUAAAUACAGUCUGCAUGCAAGCACAUGAUCAAUGCCAUUUGCAUCACGUAGUCCUUCAGGGUUUGACGCGACAUGAUAUUAUAUAUUUAUUUUAUUAGAAUAUUUAUUUUCCUCUAUAUACAUCACAUUCUGACAUUCACUAGACUAUCCAUCCUUACAUUCAUCCUAUUCUGCUUAUCCUUGAUCCUGGAUCUUCAUCCUCUUAAUCAGUUAUUUGCUUAGUUAUUUCUAAUGAUGAUUUUUCUUUAUUUUUCACUUCCAACAACAGCAUUGACAUGGUUAAGUAAUCCACCUUGGCAUCCAGGAAUAAUGCAGUCGAGGUGUAAUAUGGAUCCGUGCUGUUUUGUUAUCGAGCAGACGGAGACAGGACGGAGAUCAAUGUCAACAUGCAUCCUGAUACAAAGUAAAGGUCAAGCUGACAUUGCAUGUGUGUUGCCUAAUUGCUGUGAUGACAGAUCGCGAGGAGUGGGUUACACCGAGUCUGCAGCACCGUGUGUGUUUGUGGGUUCCAUCCCUGUUGAGUUUUCAUACAGUUAAAAUGUCACAUUACUGGUGCCGUGGGUGAAGCAUCGAUUUGUGCAGUGGAAGUGAGGCAGGCAGACCAUUAAGUUUAACCAUUAAUCAGAGGUGGGAAGUAAUGAAUUACAUUUACUCCCAUUACUGUAAUUGGGAAAAGGUAUUUUGCGAAUUUAAAACAUUUGUAAUUUUACUUAAGUAUGUUUUUUUGGAAGUACUGUACUUCACUACAUUUGAAAUCACAUCAGUUACUGAGUUACUAUAAAGAUUAAAACAUUUCUUAGGUAAACUGGCACAAAUUAAGGUGAGAAGGUUGAAGCAUUUGUGACCUUUGAGCCAUUUUGACGGAUACAUUAUGUGUUUACAUAUUUUAUUUUGUCAGCACUUUUAUUUGUAAAAGUUUGCCUUUAAUUAAUUAAAAACAAUUCACGUCAGAUUUGUGUCCCCUUCUCCUUUUCG